CUAACAACAUGGACGAAGAUGGAGGAACAGCAACACGUAUUCAACGACCUGCGAGAAGUCGAGUCUUUUAUAGAACAAAACGAAGCCGCCACCAUGACUAAGUUUGUGGUGUACGGGACACAUGCUUCGUUUUUUGAUAAUAUGUGGCAACCGACGUCCAACACCCGUGUGUUCUGGGAGUGGAGUAGGGGGAGAGGGCACCCCGACCAUCGCCUUCACCGGCACCCCGUUCAUGUUCAUCGGGACGAAGGAGAUGGGAUGUCAUCUGGGGGAGAGACAUCUCCGAGAGCAAGAAGCGGAAGGAUAAACCCGACGUGUUGAAUAUUGUGGACAAUAAGGACCGGACAAAGCGGGCGGCUUCAGCCCGGCUGAAACAGGCCCUGCAGAGAGACCCCGUGAUCUGGGAGAACGUUUACAUCAUCAAGACUCCGUCGCCAAGCGCCCACACGGGCCACGCCGUCAACGGGGAGCUCAUAUGGUCCAGGAAGACGUUUGUGAGGAAGGAAUGUUCUGAUCUCCUGAAACACCUCACGGAGAAGGUGCAUCUGGUGGAGGAGCAGAGGGGGCUGGAGCACAUCAAGAAAAAGCUGCUGGAUCUCAUGGACGACGUUCAGCCCAUGAUUCCACUCGAAGCUCGGAUUCCUCUGAGUGACGUUUGUGAGGGAGAGAAACGACUCAAAGGCUCGUCCUCCAAAGCAAAGACUGUGGGCGGCCUGAACACGAACUCAGUCAACUGUGGAAGCACUGAGGUCCACCUGCAGGGUAAAUGUCAAAUGGAAAGCACCAAUCCAGCCUGAACGAAGGACCAGCCAAUAGCCAUACCAGCAGCCUGGCUGCCCCUGCUGGCCUGCGACCCAAACACCAAAAACUAAAUCUAGAUCAUGAUCAGUGACACAUUAGGAAUAUCAAAUAUUGUACUUAUUUUAUCUGACUCAACUUAAUUUGUCAAUGAGGCAAAUUCAUUUUUUAUUUGUGUAUCCUAUAGACCGAGGAGGGACACAUUCCUGCCUCCCAACAUGGUUGGUUCAUGUUCUGAUUAUGUUUGAUGGAGGUGAAUCUAGUUGACGUCCUCCAUUUGAAUUCCACUCCCGGAGGUUUUCCUCAACAGCCGUUCUAGCCACUGUUCCAAUACAGUCAAUUUGGGAUUAGCCAUCGUAUGGCCCUGCGACUGAAGAUGCCUGGCUGAAUUAUUUAAUUUCAUUAGUGAAGGUCUAAAGGGUUGACUCAUUUCACACAGUAUUCCACCCGCUUGACCACUGCUAGACUUCCGCUCCAAGUUUAAGUGAAGCAAUAGAAGAAAAUAAUUUGAACGGAGCCACUGAGCUGAACAAUGCAUAGUAUAGCUUAUUGGGGAAAUGAUUGUGCUGUGUCAAAACAUCUCCCGUACUGCCAUUAUGCUGUAACAGUAAUAAAUUAGUUAUGUUCUUUGCACAUAAGUCCCCCUUCAUCUUGCUGUCAUCUUUGCCAAAU
ensembl:lncRNA